rnacentral:lncRNA from 1 species
GAGUGAGUGAAGUGGGGUUUGAUGACUGUGAAUUCUAGAAGUAGUGGUGGUGAAGAAGGGUGAGGAACUAAGAGGUUUGAUUACUAAAAAUAAAGGUGAAUGUCGAAGAAGCAGCAAAAAUAUAAUUGUGUGGAAUCGGGAGUGCCUUGCCUUGUGCAGUACACCACCCAACUGGGAAAAUUCCUCCUUAGUGACAACUUAUAUCCACUCUUGCAUGGUCUGAAUGGCCACUCUAUGCCACGUGUC